rnacentral:rRNA from 1 species
GACGUAGGGCGCGAGCGUUGUCCGGAUUUAUUGGGCGUAAAGAGCUCGUAGGCGGCUUGUCGCGUCGAAUGUGAAAUCUCAGGGCUCAACUCUGACAUUGCAUUCGAUACGGGCAGGCUAGAGUUCGGUAGGGGAGACUGGAAUUCCUGGUGUAGCGGUGGAAUGCGCAGAUAUCAGGAGGAACACCGGUGGCGAAGGCGGGUCUCUGGGCCGAUACUGACACUGAGAAGCGAAAGCGUGGGGAGCGAACAGG